AACGAACGCUGGCGGCGUGCUUAACACAUGCAAGUCGAACGUGAAAGCCUUCGGGUGAGUAAAGUGGCGAACGGGUGAGUAACACGUAGGUAAACAACCUUAGAGUCUGGAAUAACUUGCCGAAAGGCGAGCUAAUACCAGAUACACCAAGAGAGCUAUAAAAGUUCACUUGGGAAAGGGAGCUGGUAACAGCCCUCGCUUUAAGACGAGCCUGCGUCUCAUUAGCUUGUUGGUGGGGUAAAAGCCUACCAAGGCAUUGAUAAGUAGUUGGUCUUAGAGGAUGAUCAGCCACACUGGAACUGAAACACGGUCCAG
rnacentral:rRNA from 1 species